GGAGUAACACGUAAAGAACCUACCUUAUAGACAGGGACAACUAUUGGAAACGAUAGCUAAUACCUGAUAAGAAAGAAACUCGCAUGAGAGAAAAUCGAAAGUCGGAGCAAUCUGACACUAUAAGAUGGCUUUGCGGUGCAUUAGCUAGUUGGUAGGGUAAAAGCCUACCAAGGCGACGAUGCAUAGCCGACCUGAGAGGGUGAUCGGCCACAUUGGGACUGAGACACGGCCCAGACUCCUACGGGAGGCAGCAGGG
rnacentral:rRNA from 1 species